GGUUUUGUACUUUAUUUAGAAGAUUUGGUUUGCAACUAAAAAGAAGAUUUUAUAUCUCAAAACCA
rnacentral:tRNA from 1 species